rnacentral:sRNA from 1 species
UGGUGAUAUUCAUAUGAUUAUAUUCAAAAAUGGUUCAUACGAGUGUGUAAACCCUCUACGCUUUACAUUAAAUCCUAAUUUACUUACCCUAAAAUUAAACUCAAACCCUCCCAUGAUCCUUCUCCACUAAAUCUAAAACCAUAAAACAAAACUCUAAACCAUACAAAAAAUGAUAAUUUUACCAAUCAAUAAAAUACAUUUGCAGCAAAUCAAAGACAUAGUUGUCCAUUGAUGACUAUCCAAGCGGUUUAGUCCAUGUGGUAAUCUAGUGACUCAUGAGGUCGUUUCAUUUCAAUACACAAGUUUAUACAUGAAUGAUAAUCACCAAUUCAAACACCAAUUCAAAGUACAUCGUCCAUUUUAUCUCUCUUUCUCUCAAGCUAAAAUCUGAAACCACCGAUAUAGAAUAAAUGAGAAAUCGUUUACUCUUAGGAAAUAAAAAUCAAUUGAAAAUUGAGAAAAGUGCUAUAUAAGAGAACGUAACAUUAAUUAGAGAAGCCCAAGAUUUGUACUCUCGCCGCUGUGAUUAUCAGAGAAGUGGGAGAACAACGACUGAUGAUUUGCCACCAAAAACAAGAGAAACGAGAUCGCGGCUUCUACUGCUACACGAGAUCCUUCACUCGGUCGCUCGUUCACUUAUUCUUUCUUUUUUGUGACAUCGGCUUCUUUGUUCUCCAUAUUUUAUGGUCUCUGAAAUUCUAAGAUCUAACAAGCGAAUAACUGAAAGAAAAAAACCCUGCAAACUUUAAGGUUUUGAAGCAAUUGAAUGAACUUUAGGUAGAACGCAUGAAACUACAAUUACAUGAAUAAACACAUAGACAACAAAAUUAUCAGGGUAUAGAUCCUUAAAUCAAGUCGUAAUUCUAGCAAACACAUCAACCAUCAUCUUCCGCUGGAUUUUGUGUUUCUCGAGAAAAAAAAAAUAGAAAAAGGAGAGAGACAAAAAGAUUGUAACCUAUGUAAUUAAAGGGUAAAUAAGUCAAAUUGCCCAUACAAAAUACCUAUUCCUUGAAAAGUGUAUAAUCGCGUAAAUACUUUUUAAAAAGUGUCCUCUACACUGUAAUAUAGA